rnacentral:tRNA from 1 species
GCGGUGGUGGCGAAACUGGCAGACGCGACCGACUUGGAAUCGGGUGGAGCGCCCUCGGCAAGGUCCACGCUCCGUGCGGGUUCAAGCCCCGCCCACCGCAUCA